UACGUAGGGACCAAGCGUUGUUCGGAUUUACUGGGCGUAAAGGGCGCGUAGGCGGCAAUUCAAGUCAGCUGUGAAAUCUCCGGGCUUAACUCGGAACGGUCAGCUGAUACUGCUUUGCUAGAGUGCAGAAGGGGCAAUCGGAAUUCUCGGUGUAGCGGUGAAAUGCGUAGAUAUCGAGAGGAACACCUGCGGCGAAGGCGGGUUGCUGGGCUGACACUGACGCUGAAGCGCGAAAGCUAGGGGAGCGAACGGG
rnacentral:rRNA from 1 species